CGCAACGUCAUAUCCUUAUUUUGAUUUAAGCGAUCCGAUUUUCUGAGAAAUAUGACUGAUUUGCAUUUCAUGCUCAAUUUGGAAUGACCCAUCGCUGGAGGAGAGAAGCACCAGUCGUCUUCUUACUGCUCUAAUAACCACGGUGAGAUGGACGUGUCUCCGUGAGGAGUCUGACCGUGUGAACGCAUGAACGGAUCCGGAGCACCGGCCCUUCGUCGCCCCACAGGGCAACAACUCUGUGCCGGGUUCAGGGUGGACGCCGGUCUGUCCUCCCUCCUCAUUCCUUCCCAUUGGCUCGCUUAUCACCAGUCAUGCAGGGACACGCGUGUGCGUGAGGACGUGUGUGCGUUCAGAGGAGCCGGGUCGUCUGUAGUUGAUUCUGCCCCGGUGCUGCCCGGCCCGGCUCCCCUCCCACCCGCUGCUGCUGCUGCUGCUGCUUUGGACUCUCCCUUUUUCAAUGGACUUCACAGCCUCUGACCAGCUUCCUGGAGCCAUGGGUGGAGUAAACACCACCCUUUGUCCGGGGCCAACCCUGUUUAAAC
ensembl:lncRNA